GGUUAAGCGACUAAGCGUACACGGUGGAUGCCCUGGCAGUCAGAGGCGAUGAAGGACGUGCUAAUCUGCGAUAAGCGUCGGUGAGGUGAUAUGAACCGUUAUAACCGGCGAUUUCCGAAUGGGGAAACCCAGUGUGAUUCGUCACACUAUCAUUAACUGAAUCCAUAGGUUAAUGAGGCGAACCGGGGGAACUGAAACAUCUAAGUACCCCGAGGAAAAGAAAUCAACCGAGAUUCCCCCAGUAGCGGCGAGCGAACGGGGAGGAGCCCAGAGCCUGAAUCAGUGUGUGUGUUAGUGGAAGCGUCUGGAAAGGCGCGCGAUACAGGGUGACAGCCCCGUACACAAAAAUGCACAUAUUGUGAGCUCGAUGAGUAGGGCGGGACACGUGGUAUCCUGUCUGAAUAUGGGGGGACCAUCCUCCAAGGCUAAAUACUCCUGACUGACCGAUAGUGAACCAGUACCGUGAGGGAAAGGCGAAAAGAACCCCGGCGAGGGGAGUGAAAAAGAACCUGAAACCGUGUACGUACAAGCAGUGGGAGCCUCUUAAUGGGGUGACUGCGUACCUUUUGUAUAAUGGGUCAGCGACUUAUAUUCUGUAGCAAGGUUAACCGAAUAGGGGAGCCGAAGGGAAACCGAGUCUUAACUGGGCGUUAAGUUGCAGGGUAUAGACCCGAAACCCGGUGAUCUAGCCAUGGGCAGGUUGAAGGUUGGGUAACACUAACUGGAGGACCGAACCGACUAAUGUUGAAAAAUUAGCGGAUGACUUGUGGCUGGGGGUGAAAGGCCAAUCAAACCGGGAGAUAGCUGGUUCUCCCCGAAAGCUAUUUAGGUAGCGCCUCGUGAAUUCAUCUCCGGGGGUAGAGCACUGUUUCGGCAAGGGGGUCAUCCCGACUUACCAACCCGAUGCAAACUGCGAAUACCGGAGAAUGUUAUCACGGGAGACACACGGCGGGUGCUAACGUCCGUCGUGAAGAGGGAAACAACCCAGACCGCCAGCUAAGGUCCCAAAGUCAUGGUUAAGUGGGAAACGAUGUGGGAAGGCCCAGACAGCCAGGAUGUUGGCUUAGAAGCAGCCAUCAUUUAAAGAAAGCGUAAUAGCUCACUGGUCGAGUCGGCCUGCGCGGAAGAUGUAACGGGGCUAAACCAUGCACCGAAGCUGCGGCAGCGACACUAUGUGUUGUUGGGUAGGGGAGCGUUCUGUAAGCCUGUGAAGGUGGCCUGUGAGGGUUGCUGGAGGUAUCAGAAGUGCGAAUGCUGACAUAAGUAACGAUAAAGCGGGUGAAAAGCCCGCUCGCCGGAAGACCAAGGGUUCCUGUCCAACGUUAAUCGGGGCAGGGUGAGUCGACCCCUAAGGCGAGGCCGAAAGGCGUAGUCGAUGGGAAACAGGUUAAUAUUCCUGUACUUGGUGUUACUGCGAAGGGGGGACGGAGAAGGCUAUGUUGGCCGGGCGACGGUUGUCCCGGUUUAAGCGUGUAGGCUGGUUUUCCAGGCAAAUCCGGAAAAUCAAGGCUGAGGCGUGAUGACGAGGCACUACGGUGCUGAAGCGACAAAUGCCCUGCUUCCAGGAAAAGCCUCUAAGCAUCAGGUAACAUCAAAUCGUACCCCAAACCGACACAGGUGGUCAGGUAGAGAAUACCAAGGCGCUUGAGAGAACUCGGGUGAAGGAACUAGGCAAAAUGGUGCCGUAACUUCGGGAGAAGGCACGCUGAUAUGUAGGUGAAGCGACUUGCUCGUGGAGCUGAAAUCAGUCGAAGAUACCAGCUGGCUGCAACUGUUUAUUAAAAACACAGCACUGUGCAAACACGAAAGUGGACGUAUACGGUGUGACGCCUGCCCGGUGCCGGAAGGUUAAUUGAUGGGGUUAGCGGUAACGCGAAGCUCUUGAUCGAAGCCCCGGUAAACGGCGGCCGUAACUAUAACGGUCCUAAGGUAGCGAAAUUCCUUGUCGGGUAAGUUCCGACCUGCACGAAUGGCGUAAUGAUGGCCAGGCUGUCUCCACCCGAGACUCAGUGAAAUUGAACUCGCUGUGAAGAUGCAGUGUACCCGCGGCAAGACGGAAAGACCCCGUGAACCUUUACUAUAGCUUGACACUGAACAUUGAGCCUUGAUGUGUAGGAUAGGUGGGAGGCUUUGAAGUGUGGACGCCAGUCUGCAUGGAGCCGACCUUGAAAUACCACCCUUUAAUGUUUGAUGUUCUAACGUGGGCCCCUUACCGGGGUUGCGGACAGUGUCUGGUGGGUAGUUUGACUGGGGCGGUCUCCUCCUAAAGAGUAACGGAGGAGCACGAAGGUUGGCUAAUCCUGGUCGGACAUCAGGAGGUUAGUGCAAUGGCAUAAGCCAGCUUGACUGCGAGCGUGACGGCGCGAGCAGGUGCGAAAGCAGGUCAUAGUGAUCCGGUGGUUCUGAAUGGAAGGGCCAUCGCUCAACGGAUAAAAGGUACUCCGGGGAUAACAGGCUGAUACCGCCCAAGAGUUCAUAUCGACGGCGGUGUUUGGCACCUCGAUGUCGGCUCAUCACAUCCUGGGGCUGAAGUAGGUCCCAAGGGUAUGGCUGUUCGCCAUUUAAAGUGGUACGCGAGCUGGGUUUAGAACGUCGUGAGACAGUUCGGUCCCUAUCUGCCGUGGGCGCUGGAGAACUGAGGGGGGCUGCUCCUAGUACGAGAGGACCGGAGUGGACGCAUCACUGGUGUUCGGGUUGUCAUGCCAAUGGCACUGCCCGGUAGCUAAAUGCGGAAGAGAUAAGUGCUGAAAGCAUCUAAGCACGAAACUUGCCCCGAGAUGAGUUCUCCCUGACUCCUUGAGAGUCCUGAAGGAACGUUGAAGACGACGACGUUGAUAGGCCGGGUGUGUAAGCGCAGCGAUGCGUUGAGCUAACCGGUACUAAUGAACCGUGAGGCUUAACCUU
rnacentral:rRNA from 3 species